rnacentral:rRNA from 1 species
GCAAAUAAUCAGCCUAUCACUUGGGAGGAGUUCAAGGAGAAUUUUCGUCAGACCCAUAUCCCAAAGGGAAAGAUGGAUAUCAAAAGGAGGGAGUUUCGCAAUCUCACUCAGGGUAGUAAGAGGAUAAAUGACUACCUAAACCAGUUUAAUGAUUUGGCAAGGUAUGCUCCGGAUGAUGUGAAUACAGAAGCCAAGAAGGUGGAAAAGUUUAUGGAGGGGCUGCAUCCAUUCCUGAAAAUGCACCUCUCGAUUCAUGGGAUCACCCAGUUUCAAGACCUUGUCAACAAGGCCUUCAUACUU